rnacentral:tRNA from 1 species
UACCCCCAGGGGAAGUCGAAUCCCCGCUGCCUCCUUGAAAGAGAGAUGUCUGAACCACUAGACGAUGGGGG